GGAGGGGUGCUGGAGUGGACGAACAGGCCGGUCUUGAAAACCGGAGUCCUUCACCGGACCGUGGGUUCGAAUCCCACCCCCUCCGCCA
rnacentral:tRNA from 1 species